AUGUACCACUCGUACACUACGGUUCCUCCGCGCCGCCCGCACCCACCUGACGACCGCUCGCUGCGUGUUGUUAGCC
rnacentral:sRNA from 1 species